CCUACGGGUGGCAGCAGUGGGGGAUAUUGCACAAUGGGGGAAACCCUGAUGCAGCGACGCCGCGUGAGUGAAGAAGUAUUUCGGUAUGUAAAGCUCUAUCAGCAGGGAAGAAAAUGACAGUACCUGACCAAGAAGCCCCGGCUGACUCCGUGCCAGCAGCCGUGGUAAUACGUAGGGGGCCAGCGUUAUCCGGAUUUAUUGGGUGUAAAGGGAGCGUAGUCGGUUAUGUAAGUCUGGAGUGAAAGCCCGGGGCCCAACCCCGGGACUGCUUUGGAAACUGUGUAACUGGAGUACAGGUGGGGCAGGCGGAAUGCCUGGUGUAGCGGUGAAAUGCGUAGAUAUCAGGAGGAACACCGACGGCGAAGGCAGCCUACUGGACUAAAACUGACGUUGAGGCUCGAAAGCGUGGGGAGCAAACAGGAUUAGAUACCCGAGUAGUC
rnacentral:rRNA from 1 species